CUGUGCUGCCAUGGCAACCAGGGAUGCAAAACUGCUGCUUAAAUCCCUAAAGGAGCAAAUCCUCCACACCACCAGCGCCAAGGCGUCCUCUCACCUCAUUCCCCACCAGCUGUUUUUGGUCCUGGGAGCUGCUGAGAGCUGCUCCUGCCUGGUGACACGCUCACACCAGGGUGUGACACCCCUGUUCCCCACGAGCCUGCCUUCCCAGGCCUCAAGCAGAUCCUGUUGUACAAUGUUCCAUCCCUGAGCUCUUUUGAGGCCGUGUGGCUGCUGUCAUCUCACCAGGCUGGAUCAGAUCUCCCAGAAAAACCCCAGGUAGCUCCCUCAAGCCUGAACAUCCUCAUUCUCCCUCAUCACUAAGAGAAAGGGAAUGUUGUGCUGCAGAGACCUUCUCCAGGGAAGUUUGGAAAACACCAGGGACAAGCACGAGGUUCUGGGCUGCAGCCACAGGGAACAGUCCUGCUGCUUCCCACUGCUUCUUCCAGAUGUUCCUCGGCUCUACCAACUUCAUUUGGGGUCUCCCUUCAACGUCCCCCCAAGGUGCUGCACCCUGACUCGGCAGGACAAAGUCUUGGAGGCCUCUGAGGCUUCUGGAUAUCUUUGGUGUGUGUUGGCACAAAGGCAGUCCAGCCAGGACAGAUUCUCCUUGUGCUUUGGCUCUGGGGUGGUUGAUGGCCCUGGAUUACACUGGAGCAGCAGGGAAGCUCUGGGCUGGGCUAGAGAUGUGUGCAAGCCCUUCGUGCCCCAGAGGAGGCUUCAAGGUUUGCUUUUGUGCAUUGGGGAUCUGCGUUUCUGACACCACAGGACUUGCACUGAGGUGGAGCUGCACCAGCCCUGAGCAUCACGGUGGUUUGGUUUCCUCCUAUGCUUUUAUUGUGUUCCUGAUGCUUGUGGUUUGUAGCGAGAAAUCUUUCCCCAGAAAAUCCUGCCAGAAGUCGCUGUGUUCCCAAUCACCGCUUCCUCCUCCUGGGGCUGGCUGUGCUUGGAUGCAGAGUCCCUGUGCCCAGCCCCACUCUUGGGUAUUUGUGGCAGUUUUGGAGGGAUUAGUGUUAACAUUCACCCCAAAACGUCAGCGUCCAUCUCCUUUCAGCAGCUGCAGCAUCCCCCGGGCGGGCGGCAGCCACAGAAUUUGGUCCCUCUUCCCCUUCCCGGGGGAGACGUGGGAGAGAUCAACACACCAAAGCAAUUAAAAAAUAAUAAUCACAGACCAGUAGAAAAGGAAAAAGCAUAAAAAGUGGGACUAAUUUUAUGACAAGAAAUGAGGCUGUAAAACCAGGAGCAAUUAGAGCACAAAGGCAAUUAAACCAUUUCAAAAGGCUCAGUGAAAUUUA